rnacentral:rRNA from 1 species
GAUGAACGCUGGCGGCGUGCCUAAUACAUGCAAGUCGAGCGAAUGGAUUAAGAGCUUGCUCUUAUGAAGCUAGCGGCGGACGGGUGAGUAACACGUGGGUAACCUGCCCAUAAGACUGGGAUGACUCCGGGAAACCGGGGCUAAUACCGGAUAACAUUUUGAACCGCAUGGUUCGAAAUUGAAAGGCGGCUUCGGCUGUCAGUUAUGGAUGGAACCGCGUCGCAUUAGCUAGUUGGUGAGGUAACGGCUCACCAAGGAAACGAUGCGUAGCCGACCUGAGAGGGUGAUCGGCCACACUGGGACUGAGACACGGCCCAGACUCCUACGGGAGGCAGCAGUAGGGAAUCUUCCGCAAUGGACGAAAGUCUGACGGAGCAACGCCGCGUGAGUGAUGAAGGCUUUCGGGUCGUAAAACUCUGUUGUUGGGGAAGAACAAGUGCUAGUUGAAUAAGCUGACACCUUGACGGUACCUAACCAGAAAGCCACGGCUAACUACGUGCCAGCCGCCGCCGUAA